AAGUCGUAACAAGGUUUCCGUAGGUGAACCUGCGGAAGGAUCAUUAUUGAAUAAACCUGAUGUAGUUGUUGCUGGCUCUCUAGGGAGCAUGUGCACACUCAUCAUCUUUAUAUUUCCACCUGUGCACCUUUUGUAGACUUGGAGAAUUUGAGCAAUCAAGUUGUUCAGGCCUACGUUUUAUCAUAUACCCCAUAGUAUGUAUUAGAAUGUAUCAGUGGGCUUUGUGCCUAUAAACACUAUACAACUUUCAGCAACGGAUCUCUUGGCUCUC
rnacentral:misc_RNA from 1 species